UACGGCGGGGGCUAGCGUUGCUCGGAAUCACUGGGCGUAAAGCGCACGUAGGCGGAUUGCUAAGUCAGGGGUGAAAUCCUGGAGCUCAACUCCAGAACUGCCUUUGAUACUGGAGAGCUUGAGUCCGGGAGAGGUGAGUGGAACUCCGAGUGUAGAGGUGAAAUUCGUAGAUAUUCGGAAGAACACCAGUGGCGAAGGCGGCUCACUGGCCCGGUACUGACGCUGAUGUGCGAAAGCGUGGGGAGCAAACAGG
rnacentral:rRNA from 1 species